rnacentral:rRNA from 1 species
GAUGAACGCUGGCGGCGUGCUUAACACAUGCAAGUCGAACGGAAAGGCCAGUGCUUGCACUGGUACUCGAGUGGCGAACGGGUGAGUAACACGUGGGUGAUCUGCCCUGCACUUCGGGAUAAGCCUGGGAAACUGGGUCUAAUACCGGAUAGGACAAUGGUUUGGAUGCCGUUGUGGAAAGUUUUUUCGGUGUGGGAUGAGCUCGCGGCCUAUCAGCUUGUUGGUGGGGUAAUGGCCUACCAAGGCGUCGACGGGUAGCCGGCCUGAGAGGGUGUACGGCCACAUUGGGACUGAGAUACGGCCCAGACUCCUACGGGAGGCAGCAGUGGGGAAUAUUGCACAAUGGGCGCAAGCCUGAUGCAGCGACGCCGCGUGGGGGAUGACGGCCUUCGGGUUGUAAACUCCUUUCGCUAGGGACGAAGCGUAUUUGUGACGGUACCUGGAGAAGAAGCACCGGCUAAUUACGUG